GACUUUGAACGUGAAGUAGUCAAUUUAUGAAUUUUUUUCUAUUGUUUUACGUUAACCAGUAGUUUAUUAUGAGGUAUUUAUUUUCACGUUUUCUUUCAUUUUGUAUGUCAUACUAUAAGAAACAACUGGAAUCAAUGGAAGAAGACACAGAACUACGAGAGAAAUUAUUCCAUGAUGCAGUCAGAGAAUAUGUGAUUUUCUUGCUUUUCUUCUUGAUAUUAUGCCUCUCUUCAUAUGCUCUUAUAUCUACUUUUCGAAAAAAGAGAGAAGAACUUUAUUCUGGAGAUGAUGAAGAUGCUUUAGUGUAUCGAAUAUCGAUGUGGAUGUGCACAUUUUCUUUGGGCAUCUCUUUAGGUGCAGCUUUACUUCUGCCUAUUUCCAUUGUUAGCAACGAGGUCCUGUUAUUUUAUCCCAAUAGUUACUAUGUGCAAUGGUUAAACAGCUCACUCAUUCAGGGAUUAUGGAACUACAUUUUUUUAUUUUCCAAUAUAUCCAUUUUUGUUCUUCUUCCAUUUGCCUACCUGUUUCCUGAAUCUGAGGGACUUCCUGGUUCCAAAAAGGGGAUUAUGGCACGAGUGUAUGAAACGUUCCUUGUUUUAGUUCUUCUGGGCCUUCUUACAUUAGGAAUGACAUAUAUCUUGUCUGCUUUACUUGACACUGGUAGCAUACGAUCAUUCUUUACUGACGAUAAGUGGGAUCUCCACACAGUCUUCCUGUGUGUAUGGAAGUAUUACCUUCCUUUCUUGUACUCAUGUGUCUCGUGUCUUGGUGUGUUGAUGUUGUUAGUGUGUACACCUGUUGGCUUUGCUAGACUGUUUACUGUAGUGGGAGGAUUAGUUAUAAAACCAAAGUUUCUUAGAGAUGUUCAUGAUGAAUAUUAUGCUGCUUUAUUCGAAGAAGAAGGGCUUCGAAUGAGAAUACAAAACACUGCCUACUCAACAGCCUAUUCGUGUACAGUGCAAAACGGCACAAAUCACUUAGUUCAAAAACUUCAGGAAACUGAACGAGUUAGAAAAGAACUAGAGCAUCAGACUAAACUCUCGCCCAUAAGAAGGAACUUGGUCUAUCCCGUAGUAAUGCUUUUACUCUUGGGAUUAACUGGAAUUUCAGUUUUAAUGGUAGCUCACAACACCCUAGAACUUUUAGUGGGCAUUCGAGCUCUUCCUUUAUAUUCUAAGCAAUUUUCUCUAGGUAUAAGCUCCCUGUCAACUCUAGGACCAGUUGGAGCUGCCUUAGAAAUAGUCCUUAUCUUAUAUUUAUGGUCUGCUUCAGUGGUAGGAUUGUACACUUUACCCCUGUUCUGUCGUAUUCAGCCCACAGUGCACGAUACUUCCAUGACACAAGUUGUGGGAAAUUGUGCAGUACUUCUUGUUCUCAGCUCAGCUUUGCCUGUAUUGACACGAACAUUAGGAAUUACUAACUUUGAUCUGCUAGGAGAGUUUGGAAGAAUUGAGUGGUUAGGAAAUUUUUACAUCAUUCUUUUUUAUAAUGUGGUAUUUGCUGGAGCCACAGCAUUAUGUCUAGUUACAAAAUUCACAGCAGCCAUGAGGCAGGAAUUGCUGCGUCGCCUGCGCUUCCUUGGAAACUGGACUUUGAGACGAGAGAAUCGAUCCUUCUCGGUUAAUGGUGGAAAUACUCGCCUUAAGGAUGAGUAAAGAGAAUAUUUCUAAAACAAAGAUUGUGUACGUUUAAGUACAUCCAGUUGGUUGAAUUGUCAUUAAUUUGAUACUUUGCUUUGGGAAUAUUUAUUUGAAGUAUUUUUUGAAUAUAUAUGUUCUAACAGAUAAGAAGUGUUUUUCAUUAUAUUCUACCUGUAAAAAACACAACAUUUCCAAGAAGAGAUUCAAAAUAUUAUGAUUUCUAUAAUAACUACUACAAUUUCAGUUACGUGUCAGUACAAGUUUCUUAGUUAUAACAGCUUAAUUAUAAUGGAUAAGUUUUCAUUUCUGUCUAACUUUUUGCCGAUGAAAAUUAUUUAUAUUGAGCUUCCGAAAUUCCACUGCAUAUUGUGGUAUAAAACUUUUCAGGGAUUAUAUUUUUCAUCAUCGUUAGGCCUUGGAAUUCGUAAUUUUAAUUAGCUAUCUUUUUCUGCUAGACAAGUGAUUAUUAAGGCUAUUUUCCAACUGCUAGUCAGUAUCAGCAGUCAGUCAGAAUUUGCCACAAAAGUGGAAUUUAUGGUUAUGCUCAUCAUAUGUUAGCUAUGUUAAAUCAAAAUUUCACUUUCUCAGAUUUAUUUCAUAGGUGAAUCAUUUUUAAGAUUAAAAUUUGUUUGAUUUUGUCUUUGUUAAGCAAUAUUUAGUAUUUUUAAAUAAUGUUCCUUGGCAGUCACUCCUCGUUGUACCUAUAAAUUUUGUGUUUAGUAAAAUUAUACUCAUGUUAUUUUGCUUUUGUAAAAUGUAGCUAUAAAUGACACAGCUUAUUAAGAAAAUCAACAUUCUUCAAACAAAAUAUUUGAAUAAAAUUUAAACUAAAUCAUGAACAGCGUGAAAUUAACAUCAUGCUAACAACUUUGGAUUUACAACAUUAACUUGAGGUGGUUUUGAUUUAAAAAAAAAAAAACAAUAACAGUAAUAUUGUGGCCUUAAAAUGAUGUUAAUGUAUUUAGCAUUCCCAAAAUUAUCUCAUAACCACAUGCCAAUUUACUAAACUUGUGUAGAAUUGUUAACACUUACAACUCGAGGAGCAACAUUUACACCAUUAUGGCAGUGAAAGACCAAAUCUUGUCCAUGCCAAUAUAUUAAGGUAUUCAAGAUAUCCUUUAUGAACUUGUUCUGCAUGGACAAUGCUCAGCGAACACAGAAAUUUGAUAGAGAAGAGUCCUGUUUGUGACUAUUGUUGAAAAAUGAGGAAAAUUAAUUACUUUGCAGUAAGAAGUUAUGUCAUUCAAAAUUAUAAAAACAUUUGUUGCCAUACAUUAAUAUUUUUUGACUUUUUCACCCAAUAAUGCCAUUAUAUCUGUCAAAUACAGUUAUUGUCAUUAUAUGUGAGGGUGAUUGAUCUUGUGUUGAAGUAUCAACACAACUUGUUUUACUGAUAGGUUUAGGGUAGUCAGCUAAUUGAAGGUCAAAGAAAAAAAGAAGUGAAAAAUCUAAGUCGGCUGUUCUUGGGCUGGAUGAAAAUGUAUAUUUCAUGUAAACAUCUAUGAAAGGUGACAAAAAAAAGAUUUGGGUUGAUCAAGCAGCUUAAAAAGAAUCAGUAUUGGCCACUGCUUCAUAAUUAAAAAUAGUGUAAAAAUUGGAAGGGAAAUUAGUUUAUUUCUGGAAAAAAAAUACUUUUGAACACAAUCUCUGCAAGGGGUGGAUUUAUAACCUGUGUGCAACCAGCAGCUAACAGUAAAUAUAAACAAAGUGUAAUUGUGUUAAAGCACGAAACAAAGUUUACAUCACUUUAUAAAAUUACACUAACAAUAUUUAUGUAUGUUGUCUUAGUUAUUUCCAAAAUGGGGUGGGGGGUAAAAAUUACUUAAACAUAAUAGCCUCCUCUUGGCUCAUACUUCAUGACAGAGUAAUAAUUUAAAGCAUACAGGUUGGGCUUUGGUUUAUGGAAAAUUAGACCAUGCAGUCUUUAUUGUCAUUUCACUUUUUUGAAAAGAACAAAUGUAAAAGUUUUGUAUUGGUUUAUGUUUUGUAAAAGCAAGAAAAUAAAUGAGAAGAAUAAAUGUUUUGGUCGUAUGGGUGGGGGGGGUAAUAAUGAAUGUAUAUCAUGUACAUUAGUUUGGUUUAGAUGCAUACGUUGUAAUAUUUAAGUAUCUUAAACUGUAUUAUAUCAUCUUUGUUUCAGAUGUACAGUUGUACAAGAAAACUAUUAACUAUUUUAAUUUGCAAAUUAAACAGGAUCACAACCCUACAGUUAUAAAGAUCAAUUUUAUAUUCAAAGCCAAGUACUUUUGUACUGAAGAAAGAAGUAUAAUUAUUUAUAAUCAAAAUAAGUUAAACAACUUUUAUAGCUUUUCAUCUUUACAGAAUGGGUAACUACAGUGCUAUGUCUGCAGACUUACAAUGUUAGAAACUGGGUUUCCAUUCUUGUGAUAGGUAGAGCACAGAUAGCUCAUUAAAAAUCCAGGAAAACAAGUUACAUUAGUGAAACAAGGACAAGUUAUUGUAUGUAUGUUUAAAACAAAUAAGAAGUAUAUGUGCCAAGCCAAAAUCUACUUUAAAAUUAUUUUUAGAAAAAUAAAUUCAGGCAUGUUUUCUAAACACAUAAAAUUAAGCUUUAAUAUGUCUAAAUAAACAAUCGGUAAAAGCUUUUAGUGUGUGUGUGUGUGUGUGUAUCUAUAUAUUUAUGCACACACAAAAAAGUAAUGUCAAAAAUUAUAUGAAAUUAUGAAAUGCAAGCACUAGAUGUUUGUUGAGAUUAAAUUACUUAACAUAUAUUGUUCACAUCGAAAACAUGAUUGCACCAAAAUAAUGUAACAGUAUUAUUUUAUUAUAUAAAAUGGUAGUGUCAAUAAGUUUUCACUAUUAUUCUAAUUUUUUGUCAGAUUCUGCAAUUCUGUUUUGUACUGCUCAUAUGUUUAUUCUUUUUCUUAAUGUAGCCGUAUAAGCUCAAUAUUACUAGAAAUAUGUAAAUGUUAGUUUAGAUGUAAAAGAAAAUGUGAUUAAAUUAUGGCAAAGACUUUAAAUACCGUAAUUUUGUUACAGUGGUCACAUAGUUUUAAAGUACAUUGUGAAUUGAAUCGAUUUGAGUAUUUAGUUUAAGGACUGUAAAUAUGCUCUUUAUUUGAUGGUAGUAUUAUGUUCACAUUCAUCUGUGGAUGUGCUCUUUAUCUGAUAUUUCUGAGUUCAUGUUUAGAUGUUGAUAAGCUUUUAAUCUGAUAGUACCUUUCUGUUCAGAUUCAGAUGUCACUUUUUUGUUCAUAUUCAGCAUACUGAAUAAGGUAAUUUAACUUGCUUUAAACAAAAACAUAAUGAUUAGUGGAAAUAGAUGAACUAGAAACUGUGAUAGUUGAUAAUGCUCAAGAACAAGGCCAGUAUCUGUUCCUGUAUGAAAGGUAGUAGUAUGUUUAAAAACAAUCUGUGAUGUGUUUAGCUCCUUAUAUAGAAACUUUUGAAUGACCUGAGCUGAUUGUUUGUAGCAUCUGUACUUUUUCAUAUUGUAAGUAGUUUGGCAUGCUAAUAGCUUCACAAGAUUAACACAGUUGGUGUGCUGAAAAAUACUUAUAGAAAUGAGUUUGUUUGUUUUUUUCCAUUGUUCUGAAUAACUUGAGUUUGAUUUAUUUGUCUGCUGACUUGACUUUCUUUGGUACUAACUCAGUAUGAAUGGUAUGCUGUAUGUAAAGGAUUUGUUAUAACAAUUUAUAGGUAGGUUUUCAUUAUUGUAGUUUGUUCUAAGUUUUGUUGUUUUUGAAACUGAUAUGCAGCAAUUUGUACAAGAUUGGACAUCACAGUUUACACUAGCUCAACACACAGGAAUGU
rnacentral:misc_RNA from 1 species